ensembl:lncRNA
UUCUAGAUGACUUCAGAAGAAAAGUUUAUAUUUAGAGAUGCAAAAUGUUUCUUUUAUUUUGGAGUGUGGAAGGGAAUCGGCAAUUACAAUGGGCGUUUGAAUGCUGUUGUCAGCCAACUCCUGUGUGUUCCAUGAAGAAGACUUGGGGCUAAUGAGAACAUUUGUUUUUAGAACAGAAUCCACCAAAUGGUUUUAAAGAACCAUUUCCCCUGACAGUUGUGGAAGUAAAAGCUUAUUGGUAGAAAUUUUCCUCUGGCCUCCUACUUCUCGCCUAGCCAGAGCAUUGACCGCUUAUGUCUGCCUUUGCUUUCAACAUAAGGAGUUUAGGUUUGUUUUCUUUUUCUGCAUCAGAGACAGAAGCUGUGAGAGGCAAUUGAGCAACUUCAUGCUCCACAGCCCGGGCUGCCGGGGAGCUGCACUGGCACUUCUGCGAGGAACUGGGGCACACGCAGCUGGACCUCAACAUUAAUUCCUCAAUAAUUCAUGACACGCCUAUGAAACUUUAAUGGCGAGUUCGAAAGUAAUGGCGUGGCUGCCAUGUCCCCUGAUUGUUCAUAGAGCAAGUUGCCCGGAAAUGCUGUGGACGCUCCAUCGGAACCCAACAUCACCGGCUGAAAGGAAUGCGAAGGAUGAGUUUGGAAAAUGCUGUGCCGUCUGCUGGUCACUGAGAACAAAGCAGAAAUAUCACCUGGAAAUCACUGAAAUUCAUGAAAACAUGGCACGUGUGGCUGCAUUUCUUUUACAAUCAGAGGAAGAGAAUGAACUUGCAAAGAUGGACACUCUUCAUGGAAAUGUUUCAAUUUGAAGACUUCAUAAGGCAUUAAGUUCUGAAAGAGAAAGAGCUCAUAAAAAUCAUCUCGUGCCUAUUAAAAGUUCUAAUUAUUAACUCGGGGUCAAUUUACUUCCUCCUUGUGAAAUCUAGUAUCUGGUUAAACAGGAGUUUGGAUGAGGAGGUCUUCUUGUCUGUUAUGGUAGCAAUACUUUCGUUUUCAUGUCAACCUUGUCCUUUGCUUAUUAAGUAAGUAGAGAACAUCUAGGAUGCAUAAAGUUCUCUCACGAAUGCAAUUCUGUAAGGGAAAAAGGAAAUAAAGAUGAUUCCUGUGUAGCUGAUAUACAAACAGAGAAUUCAUGUUCAUGCAUCCUUGCCUGAUGGGGUUUUGUAGAUAAAUUCUUGAGGACAUACAAGUGCCCAGUGGAUUAUUUGAGACUGAUAAGUGUGUGGUUUUACUGCAGCCUAAGGGCCCACCCACACAUCUGGUGCUAUCUCAAGGGAAUGACGUACUCCAAAUUGUUGAUCUUCACAGCCUAGAUCUAUUUCCUCAGUAUUCUAUAAAGUCAACCAGUCCCAGCACCCUAGGGUGCUGCUCCCAAAUAAAUGUCUUCAGUUUCUGAUAUCUGAGCCUGUCCCCUAAAACUCACCACACUCCUUCUCAGUCUUCCCCCAGGAUUCUCAGGGUCAGGAGACUUAAUUCCUGCUGCGUUUUUAGAAGAAUAAAAGCCAUAUUUUAUGUCCUGCAAGACAGUGUAGCAAGAGCCACUGCUAGAGAAAAGGGCAGCUUUUGUAACUCCAGAGUGCUCCAAAAAUCUGCAUAGGUAAUUAGAUUCUGCUGCUCCAAGAACAACAAGACCAUUUAUUGUGGAG